GACGAACGCUGGCGGCGUGCCUAAUACAUGCAAGUCGAACGCACAGUUUAUACCGUAGCUUGCUACACCAUAGACUGUGAGUUGCGAACGGGUGAGUAACGCGUAGGUAACCUGCCUGGUAGCGGGGGAUAACUAUUGGAAACGAUAGCUAAUACCGCAUAAUAUUAAUUAUUGCAUGAUAAUUAAUUGAAAGGUGCAAUUGCACCACUACCAGAUGGACCUGCGUUGUAUUAGCUAGUAGGUGAGGUAACGGCUCACCUAGGCGACGAUACAUAGCCGACCUGAGAGGGUGAUCGGCCACACUGGGACUGAGACACGGCCCAGACUCCUACGGGAGGCAGCAGUAGGGAAUCUUCGGCAAUGGACGAAAGUCUGACCGAGCAACGCCGCGUGAGUGAAGAAGGUUUUCGGAUCGUAAAGAUCUGUUGUAAGAGAAGAACGGGUGUGAGAGUGGAAAGUUCACACUGUGACGGUAGCUUACCAGAAAGGGACGGCUAACUACGUG
rnacentral:rRNA from 1 species